GGAAUCAACGCUGGCGGCGUGCCUCAGACAUGCAAGUCGAACGCGAAAGUCCCCUUCGGGGGACAAGUAGAGUGGCGCACGGGUGAGUAACACGUAGGUAAUCUACCUUCGGAUGGGGAAUAACAAUCGGAAACGGUUGCUAAUACCGCAUAAUGCAGCGGCACCUAAUGGUGACAGUUGUUAAAAGCGGGGGAUCGAAAGACCUCGCGUCUGAAGAGGAGCCUGCGGCGGAUUAGCUAGUUGGUAAGGUAAUGGCUUACCAAGGCUACG
rnacentral:rRNA from 1 species